AUAUUUAAUAAUUAAAUUAACAAAUUAUUUUCUCUCCAUUUUGCCUCCGUAGAAACAAAAACCCAGCAGAAGCUUCCAGCUGUGAAAAGAAGCCGUUUCAGAGCUGUUGAAGUGAACCUGGUGGUUCUGUUUCUGCUGAUUCUGGCUGGAAUCACAACACGCUAUAUUUUGGUGAGUUUGGAAAAAGAGCAGCUGAAGGUUUGACAUUAAGAGAAGUGUCCUGAUCGAUGGACGAGAUUUGGAAGCAGCUGUUACUUUAAAUCCACUGAGUGGAAAACUUGGUCUGAGAGCAGGAGAGACUGUCGGGAUAAAGGAGCUGAUCUGGUGAUGAUAAACAGCAAAGAGGAACAGGAAUUUAUCAGGAACAUGAGAGGAGAGUCGUGGAUUGGUCUGUAUUCUAAACAGACAUCAGGAAGAUAUAAAUGGGAAUGGGUGGACGAAUCAGCGCUGACAGAAAUGUGAGACAUUAGUUUGUUUGUACUACAGAGUUGUUUAAGAAGCUUGGAAAGAAAAGGACAGCUAUAAGUUGCUUGAAGACAUUUCACCUCUCAUCUGAGAAGCUUCUUCAGUUCUAAGGUCAAAUGGUGGAGAAUCCCAGAUUUAAGCCCUGUGGGAGUGUCCCCCCCCCAAGAGGGGAGACAAUGGACCUCCUAAUGAUCCUCUACCUAGUCACACAAGCCAAGGUGUGAAAAUGGGUGUAGG
rnacentral:lncRNA from 1 species